rnacentral:rRNA from 1 species
UACGAAGGGGGCUAGCGUUGCUCGGAAUCACUGGGCGUAAAGCGCACGUAGGCGGAUUGUUAAGUCAGGGGUGAAAUCCUGGAGCUCAACUCCAGAACUGCCUUUGAUACUGAGAGGCUUGAGUCCGGGAGAGGUGAGUGGAACUGCGAGUGUAGAGGUGAAAUUCGUAGAUAUUCGCAAGAACACCAGUGGCGAAGGCGGCUCACUGGCCCGAUACUGACGCUGAUGCACGAAAGCGUGGGGAGCAAACAGG